rnacentral:lncRNA from 1 species
GCACGGUGGGAACACGUCAAGCAAGAAAUAACACACCGCAUUGUUGGGACUGUGUGUCCACUGGUCCCGGACGUUUUCAUCGUCCACAUCCCAUGUCCACAAUCUCCUCCAGUAUGACACCUAUCGCGGCCAUUUGUUCACAGCUUCUACAUGAAAGUAACCUAACUUCUAGAUAAACAUCGCUGUACACUGAAGUUGGGCAGUUAUGUAAUACUAUUGUAAGGUUAGCGACUGUGACAUGCUUGCCACCCAAGCCUACAUGCUUACCCAACUCUUGUUGUAUGGAAGCGUGAUGCAUCGCGUUAAAGCAUGACUAAAGGGGGUGUUAAACUGUGAGCGGCUCGCCAUGCACCCACGACUCUGGUUCGGGUCGGUUCGGGUGGUGGUAUCUUUUAGUUACACACACACACACACACACACACACACACACACACACACACACACACACACACACACACACACACACACACACACACACACACACACACACACACACACACACAGACACACACACACAAUGAAUGAAUGAGUACGGAGUACGGUAACCAGGCAUGUAGGGUUCCUGCCCCACAUACCGGAAUCGAAACCAACACAGUACGCACGAGAGACACUUGUAAGUGCUCCCCUUACAGAGCUUUCAUUAAAUUCCUUUAACUCGCGCGAUUCCGGAUGCCU